rnacentral:piRNA from 1 species
UGUGUGUGGUAGAGCAGAGUUGCUCAAUACA